AAAACUUUGUAUGAACAUAAAUUCAAUUACUAAGAAAUAAACUGAACAACGUUUCACAGACAUGUGACUAACAGAAAUGGAAAAAUGUGUCCCUGAACAAAGGAUGGUCAAAAUCAAAAGUCACAUUCAGUAUCUGGUGUGGCCACCAGCUGCAUUGCGUACUCAGUGCAUCUCCUCCUCAUGGACUGCACCAGGUUUGACAGUUCUUGUUGUGAGAUCUUACCCCACUCUUCCACUAAGGCACCUGCAAGUUCCUGAACAUUUCUGUGGUGCAUGGUUCUCGCCCUUAGCCUCCGAUCCAAGAGGUCCCAGACGUGCUCAAUGGGAUUGAGAUCCGAGCCCUUCGCUGGCCAUGGCAGAACACUAACUUUCCUGUCUUGGAGGAAAUCCUGCACAGAACGAGCGGUAUGGCUGGUGGCAUUAUCACACUGGAGGGUCAUGUCAGGAUGAGCCUGCAGGAAGGGUACCACAUGAGGGAGGAGGAGGUCUUCCCUGCAAUGUUCUGCAACUUUUAAAUAACCCAUUAUGGGUUAUUUAUAUGGAAGUUGGGUUAUUUUGUGCAACUCAUGCGUUGAGUCAAAAUCCAUCAACCCAACAUACGGUUGACCCAGCACUUGGGUUGUUUGUGCUUCGAACGUCAUCAGAUCAUCACCAGAGUCCACACACUGAGCACUUGUCACAGCAGAGAACCAGUCUGGUCAUCCAACGAGGCAAAUAAAUAAUAUAAGAAUGUACCAUAUCAGACGAACGUGGGUCACAGCUUAAAGAAUGUUUGAGAAAUAAUUCUCAGCCCCUCAGCCAGAUAGAGACCUACAUGCGGAACACGGCAGUCUACAGGGCCAAGUGGAUUAGGGACAACAAUUGGACCAUCGAUCAGAUCCUCGAAGAGUUCCCUCACCUAAUGACCAAAGGCAUGAUUGCACAGGCUUGUCCUGCAUGGGGAUGCUGCAUCAAAGUUGUUUGAAACUUGGUCACGUGAAAUGCCAGGAGGGGAGUCUAAAAUGGUAAAGUUUAUUCAAAGUAGAAUACUUGCUUGCAAGUAGAGCUAAUGGCUCUUAAUAGCAGCUUUUUAAUAGGAAUUUGAAUUUGUUCACUAUAGACCUGUUGAAUGUUCAUCCAGUUCAUUCGUAAUUGUUGUUUUGCUCUGAAUAUUUUCCUACCUGAGUGAUAUGAACUGCACCAGUUCCACUAUAUUGUUG